UACGGAGGGGGCUAGCGUUGUUCGGAAUUACUGGGCGUAAAGCGCACGUAGGCGGCUUUGUAAGUUAGAGGUGAAAGCCCGGGGCUCAACUCCGGAAUUGCCUUUAAGACUGCAUCGCUAGAACGUCGGAGAGGUAAGUGGAAUUCCGAGUGUAGAGGUGAAAUUCGUAGAUAUUCGGAAGAACACCAGUGGCGAAGGCGACUUACUGGACGACCGUUGACGCUGAGGAGCGAAAGUGUGGGGAGCGAACAGG
rnacentral:rRNA from 1 species